rnacentral:lncRNA from 1 species
UGGAUUAGAUCGGAAUUAUUAUACAAGGAUGAAGGAUGAAAAUGUCAACAUGAUCAUGAAAUACUUUACUCAAAAAAAUCCUUCAACUAAUGAGAUCACAGAUGCCUUAAACUAAUGAGAUGAAUGAAUCAACAAAAAAAGAAAAGAAAGUGGAAUUGAAUUAAGAUUCGGGCUGACGUUGAUCAAACUGCAGCAGAAUCAUUAUAACGCGAGCCCAUCAUCAUCAUGACCUUAAACUCCUCAAAAUUGAUCAUACCGUCGCCAUCGCUGUCGACCGCACUGAUCAUCUUCUUGCACUCAGCGAUCGAACACUCGUCCCCCAAGCUCCUCAGCACUUUAUACAAUUCCUCGGCCGAAAUCGACCCAUUCCCAUCAAUGUCGUAGACCGAGAAAGCGUCUUUCAGAUUCUCCAGCGCCUCGGCCUGGUCGACCCCGUUGGUGUUGAGCUCGACGAACUCUUUGAAGUCGAUGAAGCCAUCGCCGUCGGAAUCGACCUCUAAGAUCAUGUGGCUGAGCUCCUCUUCGUUGGCCGGCUGGCCCAGGCUGCUCAUGAUGGCUCCGAGCUCGGAAGACGAGAUCUUGCCGUCGCCAUUGACGUCGAAUUUCUUGAAGACCUGGUCGAGUUCGGCGAUCUGAGCGCGCGAGUUGAAGGAUGGGGAUCGCGAGGGUGUGGUCGUGAGUGGGAGGGCUGUGGCUGAUGGAAUGGAUUUCUUCUUCCGGGAGAAGAGGGAUUUGAAACCCAUCUGGAUUUGAAUUGAAACGACUCUGAGAGAGAGAAAAGGUGAAAUGAAAGACGAAUUGAAGAAGAAGAUAGUCAAAUGUGAGAUUCAGAUUUCUAGGGUUGUGUUAAAUUUGAACAGGGGGAUUUUUGUUGCUUCUUUGUUGUUUGGAGAUUCAGGGAACGGGAUUGGGAUUGGGAUGUUGGUUGCAGGUUAUUUUAUAAGGAUGUGAGAAUGAGUAAAUGAGAGAGAGAGAGAGAGAGUUUGGUUAGGGAUUGGGAAAUGGGGGAAUUGGGGAUUGGGUGAAUAACUGAAUGCGGAAAACGAAAACAGAAUCCAACUGAAUCUUAACGCCUAUUUCUCUGUCAAUGGCUCAUCAAUAACUCAGAUGAAUGUGGUGUGGUGGUUGUCGCUAAUUUUGGGAGGAGAGAGAGAAGAUUGCGCGUCAAUUGAUGAGUUACAGUCAGUUACACUGCAUACACACCAACUCAAUGACUCGGUGGAUGCCAACGGUAACAAUGGAUCCC